UUAUUUCAGUAGUUUGGAUGUAAUGGCGGUUCGAUUGUGAUGUUGGUAGGACUAUUGAGCUAUAAGUGUUUGUGUUUCGAGAUUGGUGGUGUAUUUGCUGAAGUAUUAUUACAUUUUGGCUGUUGUAUUGCAUUUUUAACUGGAAAAUGAUUAAGAUUGAAGGGAACAGUCCAACCGACAGCAGGGCAAGAGACAGGUCACCCUUGAACCCCAGUGAUGAUAGAAAUGAUGAAGAUUCCAACUUGAGUGGUGGUGGUAAAGACCGUAGUCGUGAGAGAGAACGCGAUCGUUCCCGAAGAGGUGAUAGGCCAAGCCGUUUUGGACCGAGAAAUUCAAGUAAUUCCCGAGAACGGGAUCGGGAUAGGGAUCGUGAUCGUGGUGGCAAGAAAAGUGCGGCAGAGAGGCGCAUCUUUGUUUCAAAUAUUGCUUAUGAAUACCGGUGGCAAGAGUUAAAAGAUCUCUUCAGGACUGAAGUUGGCGAAGUUGCCUACGUGGAACUGUUUCAUGAUGAAAAUGAUAAGCCCAGAGGAUGUGGGAUCGUAGAAUUUGAAUCGGCAGAUUCAGUCAAGAAAGCAGUGGAAAAAAUGCAUCGAUAUGACCUCAAAGGGAGGAAGCUUGUUGUAAAGGAAGAUUUUGAUGUAGAGCGUGACAGAUAUGGCCGGCCACAAAAGGGUGGCGGAGGAGGAGGAGGAGGUGGUGGUGUUGGAAGCAGCAGUGGGGUUGGUGGUGGAGGCGGUGGUGGAAAUGUAGGCAGAAUCAGAGAUGAACCCAGGGGCAAAUGGGACCCUGUCCCAUCACUUGCUCCAUCAUUAAGUGCUGCUGUUGGUGGUACUGGGCAAAACAAGUGGGGAAACACGUAUGGUCUCAGUCCACAGUUCCUUGAAUCUUUGUGGAUAAAUGGUCCUCUUGUGACAAGAGUAUUUGUUGCCAAUUUGGAUUACAAGGUAGAUGAGAAGAAACUGAAGGAGGUGUUCAGACUUGCAGGAAAGGUUGUAUCUGCUGAAUUAAGCCUCGACAAAGAAGGAAAGAGUCGAGGUUUUGGCGUUGUUGAAUAUGAGCACCCUGUUGAAGCCGUGCAAGCAAUCUCUAUGUUACAUAACCAAACAUUAUAUGACAGAAAGUUAACUGUGAGGAUGGACAGGGUAGACCAUAAACCUGAGGGGCCACCAAAAUUACCUGAAGGACUAAGAGGAUUGGGAAUGGGCCUGGGAGCCGGUGGAAAUCCUCUUCAAGAUGUUUCACGAAACUUGCCAUGUGCAGAAGCAGGUCUGGCUGGGGCUGUCCCUGGAGGAGCUGCAGCAGGAUUGGGCACUGGACUAGGUGCAGCUGCAUUGUCAAAUGUUGUUGGUCCCUCCACGUUAGGUCUUGGUAACACAGCAGGACUUCAGGCUGGUUUAGCAGGAGUUGGUGGUCUUGGAGGUGGUAGCCUGAUUGGCCCAUCCCUUGGUGGAGGUGGUGAUAUAGGACUUGGUGCAAAUUUGGGAGGAGCUGGAGCAUUUGGAGGAUCAGGAUUAGGAGGUGGCCUUGGUCCUGCUGCCUCUGGUCUGGCAAGUCUUGGGGGUGGAGCUGGAGGACUGGGAGGUGGCAGCAGCUCCUAUGGUAGUGGGAUUGGAGCUGGAGGCUCAAGUUCAUAUGGCGCUGGAGCCGGAGGUGGUUAUGGCAGCGGUUCUUCCUCUGCCCUGGCUGGUGGCUCUGGAUUUGGCAGCAGUGGCAGAGAUUUUGAUUCUUUGAGUGCAGCACUUGGAGGUGGUGGUGCAGGCGGCUACAACUCGAGUGUAGCUGAAAGAGACUACAGGGCAGGAGCUGGUGGAGGCUCUGCGUAUGCCAAUGGUCCAGGUCGUGGGUCAUUAGGUGGAGGUGCUACUUCUGGUAAUGGCAGUCGCAUAUCAGACACAGUCAUUGUUAAAAAUCUACCACCUGCCGCAACGUGGCAGAUGCUCCGGGAUAAAUUCCGGGAAUGUGGGGAUGUUAAAUAUGCUGAAAUGCGAGGCAAAGACAUUGGACUUGUGAGGUUUAGCAGUGACUGGGAUGCAGAACGUGCAGUCCACAUGAUGGAUCGUUCUCGCAUGGAGGGCCGCAUGAUUGAUGUUGGUCUCUUCUACUAGAACAGUCAUUGAUAAGAGCAUAUGCUACAAAGUUCCCUAGUGUUGGUGUCAUCAUUUUUACUCUUUACGUACGUGCUGGCUGUCAGUUUGCAUCACCAGCAAAUGCCAGCAACAUUUUCUCUCCCCCUUCAAACCUAAGAAGUGAACAUUGCAGGCAUUCUGUGGUUCUGAAACUACGGGAUGUCUUGUUCGUGUCUGUUGAUCUGCGCAGUUGGGCAUCUUGGCAGCCAUCUUCUGAUUAAAAACUUUUUUUUGGGGCUGUGGCACAUUUUGAUGGGUAAGUUGUAUGGAUAGAUGGGUUGGUUUGCUUGGAAUAUCUUUCACUCAGUUGACAACAUUUCAUCAGUACCUGUUUGAUGACAAUGGGUUGGAAUUUUUUCUGCAUUUUACUGCUGAAUAAAGAUAGAUUGGUUAUUUUUUGUGACAGUGUCCUGCACGGGUUACUUUUUUAUAGUUCCAUCUGUUGUCAGAUCUGCACUCUUGCUGUGGAUUUGUGGCCGCUAUAUUUGUUGAAUUGUAAGUACAGCUAUUUCGUAAGAGUGCACAAAACGACAGCAUGACUCUUGAAAUGCGAAACAGCUUUGGUGGUCUAUUUUAUUAAACAUGUCCAGUUUUCUUGAUACCUAGUUUGGAAAAAGAGUAUUUGCCAUUCUGUAUUUUGUGUCUACACACCAUCUGCCUCGUGCGCCCCCCUGAUGCUUUGAGGUCUGAUCAUUUUUACAUUGGUGUUCUUGUCAUCUGCAUAUAUGGAAUCGCUGCGUAUUGAGUACAUAUUAUAUUGCGUUGCUAUGUAAUUUUGUAGAUGCUUAUCAACUUUCCUUCGAUACUGCCUACGAGAGUACACAGUAUCACAAUCCAGAAGACAUGUUCAGCUCUGUAGUAACCUCAGAUCAGAGAUUAUGGAUUAUAUUUACAAAUUUUGUUGUCUGUAGUUGCUCAUAGUAAAUACGGAUUUUGAAUUUGCUAUCUCAUUCCCAGUCUAAAUUUGUUUUGUGUUUAAACAAAACAGUUAAGAAAAUAGAGCAUAUACUGUUUUAAAAAUACAGGGAGAGAAAGUUAGUUUCCCUUUUUUAAUGUGACUGCUUCAACAACCAACAUAAGUGGAAAUGUCUUAAAAAGAAGAGAAUGUGACUAGUUUUUUCAGUCAGAGUCUGUCAAGUAUGAAAAGUAAGUUAGGAGAGAUGUAUUCCUCUGAGGAUAUCCAUAUUUGUUCCAUAUUUCUGUAUAAUGUUUUGGAUAGAAAUUGUUUCAUGUAUUCAAAAGUGUAUCUUAGCAGCUGUUUAGCGGAGUAGUGAUGGACAUGACGAGGUUUAUUCUUGUCACUUGGUAUAGUGCAACCCGGUGCAGGACCCUGAAUGAAGGCACCUACGUUUAGAGAGUUCAUCCUCUUCAGGCAUUUCACUGACCCACAUUAUUCAUUAUUUUCUCUUAUUGAUGUAGACUUUGAUCUUUCAUUAAUUAUUUGUGGAAAUGAAACAGUAAAUUCUGCAGAUGGAAUUCACUCUUUGCCUGUGAUCAGUAUUGUAUGCUUUUCUUGUUUCUCUCAUGCCUGUUUAUCUUUGUCCUUGCAUCAUAAGAAUUUACUGAGGAAUUUCCACAGCUGCUUUGCGUUAAUAUUUGUUCUUGAUUGUUACAUGAAAUCCUAAAAUUUUUGGACUAUACUUGAAUAUUACUUUUUGUUUAGUUGGUAGUUUGUGAUAGGGUUGGCAGAUUUGGUUGGCUUUGAACUUUGAAAUCAUGAGACUUCAGAAGGGAUUUACAACAGCAUUUGGAUUUUUUAUGGUUGUUGAGUUUUUUUCAGUUCGAAGAUAUUAGAAGAUUUCAUCCUCUUGGCUUUCAGUCCUGCCAAGCUGUUUCUUAUAGGAGUUGAUUGGUCCACGUCUGAGCUUCUGGUGAAGAUAGUUUUGUGAAGAAACAAAGUCAGAUUGGUGUCCUCGUUAAUAUAUCCUUUAUGUAGGGGCUCUUUGUUAUUUACAUUGUGUUCUGAUAUUCAGUAGAGAUGAUUGAACAUUGAAGAGUGGUGAAGUUGAGGGAAAAUUUUUCACACAAUGGGAAUAUGUUCUCAAUCACCAGGUAGAUUGGAAAAGGACACAGCAUGAUAUUGGUACAAGCCAAAUAGAAUGAGUAGUGGUGCAUGUAUUCAGAUUUGAAGUGUGGUUUAUUCUGAGUUAUAUCUUCCUAUUCUUGCUAUUUCCUUUUAAUAUGUGCCAAAAAAUGUUGGACUUCAAGAAUUUCUUCCCUUGUGCUUCUAAUAUGGGAUUAAAAUAUUUUAAUUGUUUGAAUAAACACAGACCGUGUGCCCUGUCUUGAAAUGGUAACAGUUGGUGAAUAUAAAAGUAAAUGCUAUCUUCGCACUAGUUCUCAAAAACAAAUUGUGUAGAGAUUUUGACACAUUUUAAUUGAAAGUGUUAUAUAAUAUGUUAAUAUUGAUAUGUGUUGUUACAGCCUGGUACCUUUACAAUUAUAGAAAGCCCAGAGCAGUUAACAGAAUCUUAAUCCCAAUCCCAUGACGGAUCAAGGUUAAGGCAAGGGGCCUUCAGAAUGAAGCACCGUGGAAACAACUGGAGAGCUGUAACAAGGAUAAAUGUCCUACUUACCAAGAUCAGGACAUAUAGUCAAUUGCAGAAGCACUGCAACUAGAAUUGGCUCUGAAUUGACAGGAUGUCAGAUCCUGACAGGAUUGUGGCAGAAAUGAAUGAACAUUGAGUUUUUAUUCAGUAUAUUAUAUAUGCUGUAAAUGUAUACUUUAAUACUUAAUAAAUUCUCAGAAACCUU